CGUUCCCAACACUCACACGCGCCAGCUUUGCCCAACCGUAACGCGCCACUUGGCCUAACCGGGACAGAUUUCAACAUGUUUAACAUCUUCAUCACCUCUUUCCUCCACAUCAUUUUCAACAACCUCACUCCAAUGGUUCAACAUAUUGAAUCAUGCUUUCAAUAGGCUCAUUGCUCAUGGUCUAUGAGUAAUAGUUGAAAUGUUAACUUCAAUCAACAAAUCUUCAUCAGAUGCAUAAAACCAAAGAUAGGAGGGAGGGACCUUGACUUUCAAU
rnacentral:lncRNA from 1 species